AAAUUGAAGAGUUUGAUCAUGGCUCAGAUUGAACGCUGGCGGCAGGCCUAACACAUGCAAGUCGAACGGUAACAGGAAGCAGCUUGCUGCUUCGCUGACGAGUGGCGGACGGGUGAGUAAUGUCUGAGAAACUGCCUGAUGGAGGGGGAUAACUACUGGAAACGGUAGCUAAUACCGCAUAACGUCGCAAGACCAAAGAGGGGGACCUUCGGGCCUCUUGCCAUCGGAUGUGCCCAGAUGGGAUUAGCUUGUUGGUGGGGUAACGGCUCACC
rnacentral:rRNA from 1 species